UACAGAGGUGGCAAGCGUUGUUCGGAAUUACUGGGCGUAAAGGGCGCGUAGGCGGCUUUUUAAGUCAGACGUGAAAUCCCCCGGCUUAACCUGGGAACUGCGUCUGAUACUGGGAAGCUUGAGUUCGGGAGAGGGAUGUAGAAUUCCAGGUGUAGCGGUGAAAUGCGUAGAUAUCUGGAGGAAUACCGGUGGCGAAGGCGGCAUCCUGGACCGAAACUGACGCUGAGGCGCGAAAGCUAGGGGAGCAAACAGG
rnacentral:rRNA from 1 species